GAUGAACGCUGGCGGCGUGCCUAACACAUGCAAGUCGAGCGAAGCAUAAUGAUUAGCUUGCUAAGAGUUAUGACUGAGCGGCGAACGGGUGAGUAACACGUGGGUGAUCUGCCUGAAAGACUGGGAUAACAGUUGGAGACGGCUGCUAAUACCGGAUGACAUUUAAUCUGUAAGAGAUUAAAUCAAAGCGUUAAGUAGCGCUUUCAGAUGAGCCCGCGUCCCAUUAGCUGGUUGGUGGGGUAAUGGCCUACCAAGGCGACGAUGGGUAGCCGGUCUGAGAGGAUGGACGGCCACACUGGGACUGAGACACGGCCCAGACUCCUACGGGAGGCAGCAGUGGGGAAUUUUGCGCAAUGGGGGCAACCCUGACGCAGCGACGCCGCGUGAGCGAAGAAGGCCUUCGGGUUGUAAAGCUCGGUUGAGGGGGAAGAUAGUGACGGUACCCCUUAAGAAAGCCCCGGCUAACUACGUGCCAGCAGCCGCGGUAAGACGUAGGGGGCGAGCGUUGUCCGGAAUUACUGGGCGUAAAGGGCGUGUAGGCGGCCUGUAAAGUCAGCUGUGAAAUCCCUUGGCUCAACUGAGGGCUUGCAGUUGAAACUACCAGGCUUGAGUGCAGGAGAGGAAGGUGGAAUUCCCAGUGUAGCGGUGAAAUGCGUAGAUAUUGGGAGGAACACCGGUGGCGAAGGCGGCCUUCUGGCCUGUAACUGACGCUGAGGCGCGAAAGCUAGGGGAGCAAACAGGAUUAGAUACCCUGGUAGUCCUAGCUGUAAACGCUGGGUACU
rnacentral:rRNA from 1 species